AAUUAUUUUAAUAUAUAUUAUAUUUUAUUAAUAUUUAAAUUUAACCUCAAUAUUUUAUCGGGGCUCCGUUCCUUUGAAUUAAUUAAUUAACAAUGAUUUCUGACCAAAUCAAAUGGUUCAUAAUGCUUUCUUUUUCUUUCUUUUUUUUUUUCUGAGCGCAUCGCGUUGGGCAACUUUACCUUUGACUUGAAGCUGUAUUUGAAGAAAAAGCGGUUGGAUUUGCAGAUGUAGAGACAAUAUGUUCCCAUUCCAAUAUCAUAUAUUUCAAUAGAGAAAAAGAUUUUAAGCAGCAGACAAAAGCUCAAUAUUUGGACCUUUUGAAUUAUCUCACAACAAAUCAAAAGCCCAGGAAGCUGAUGGUCGAGGAUUCACCGUCGAUAGAGUGCCUAAUAUGACCACCCGAGUCUCUAGUUCUGACUUCAAGUACUCUUUCUUCUAUUAGUCCUGGCCAGAAAUUCAUUUGCUUCUACUUUCAUUAUGCUUCCUAUAAUGAAUUUGAGAGAUCCAAGGCCUUUUUCUCUAUUAAAGCUGGCCCUUUCACUCUAUUAAGAAAAUUUCAGUGCUUCAGUUGAGGCUGAUUCAAUGAGGGUUACAUCAUUUUAUAGAGAAUUCUGCUUGAAUGUAAAAGAGAAUGAGGAGUUGGACCUUGUUUUCAUCCCAUUUGUAGGAGUUAAGAAAUAGAUUAUGAAAUCACAGUAGAGUCUUGAGCAAGAA